AGGAGCGCAGCGCACUGACACCCGAGGCAGCCACUGCCUUACAAGGCUGCCACAGGCACAGCCAGCCUAUGGACGCCGCUCGACCCAGGGUGCGGUCGCUGUGGAGCUGUGGAGCGUGGGAACCGGGCUGAGGUUGGGGAAGAGCGACUAGGGCACACCUGGCCCUGGGGCCCCGGGCGUGCGGCCAGUCGCAAGUAGGGAAGCUGAGGCUGGUGGCGCAGUCGCAGACUACACUGCGCACAACCCGUUGCUGAUCCCUACCUGCCUGGAGAGCUUGAUGGACGCUUGCCACGGGAUCUCCACCCCGCUGACUCUGUGGUGAGGUCAGGGUCGCACUGGUGGCUCUGAAGAAGAUUAUGGGGUUAGCAAGGAGGCAAUGGGGCUGGAAGAUUUGGUUCAAUAGACUCUUCAGUCCUCCAGGUUCUGUCUCAGACUCUAACCAAGUCACCCACUGAGGUCUUGGCUUGGCCACUUGCCUUAUGUCCCACAAAGCCCCAAGUCCUGCUGUGAUGGUUUGUAUAUGCUUGGCCCAAGAAGUGGCACUAUUUGGAGGUGUGGCCUUGUUGGAGUAGGUGUGACCUGGUUGGAGUAGGUGUGUCACUGUGGGCAUGGACUUAAGACCCUCACCCUAGCUGCCUGGAAGUGAGUAGCAGCCUUCAGAUGAAGAUGUAGAACUCUCAGCUCCUCUUGCACCAUGCCUGCCUGGAUGCUGCCAUGCUCCCACCUUGAUGAUAAUGGACUGAACCUCAGAACCUGUAAACCAACCCCAAUUAAAUGUGUCCUUUAUAAGA